AGAGUGAGCUUAAAUUCGAGACAGAGAAUGAGAUGUAUGUGGUGAAGGUUUGAGGAGAGAUUUGCUGAAGUCUAUCUUGGGAUAAAUUCUGUUUUUCAACACGUACGGAGUUUGUGAACUUUUCUAGACCUUCAUUAGGUGCCUAAAAAUACGUGACUGAUAUCCUUGAACAGCAUGCGGUGUCAUUUAGCCUAAGCAUUGGUCCACGAAGUCAUAGUUCUAAAGUGGUUUUAGAAUAUAUUCAAGACGUUUGCAUACCAACACCUAGAAAUCCAGAUUUAAAUUCAAUUGAACAUGUCUGGAGAGUACUGAAGAGACGCGUUCGCGACCAAAAUCCUCCUCCAAGCAGGCAGUCUUGAUUAGCUAGAAACUGCAGUGAAAGAUGAGUCAGAGAGUAUUUAACAACAAGAUUCCAAAACUUAAUUCGUGGAUUGAACAGACGACUCCAAAUUUGUAUAUGUGUUAGAGGAGGCAAUACCAAUGUUAAGCAUUUUUGUGUCUUCCUAAAAAAUAAGCAAACACACAAAAAUACGCACAAGAAUUUUAAACCCAUUUAAGAUACAAGGGUUUAACUACAAACUUAAAGAGGUGUGAGUCAAUUAUGAGCGGGAGUGUAUCGAAAGAGCUUGUAAGGAUCGCAUAAGAUAUUUCUGUAUGAACACAACAAUUAAACUACCUUGGCACCACUGUUUUUAUCGAGAGAAAAUAAAAUCUGGAUAAUUA